rnacentral:rRNA from 1 species
GACGUAGGGCGCGAGCGUUGUCCGGAUUUAUUGGGCGUAAAGAGCUCGUAGGCGGCUUGUCGCGUCGACUGUGAAAACCCGCGGCUCAACCGCGGGCCUGCAGCCGAUACGGGCAGGCUAGAGUUCGGUAGGGGAGACUGGAAUUCCUGGUGUAGCGGUGAAAUGCGUAGAUAUCUGGAGAACACCAGUGGCGAAGGCGACUACCUGGCCUGUUCUUGACGCUGAGGCGCGAA